UACAGAGGGUGCAAGCGUUGUUCGGAUUUACUGGGCGUAAAGGGCGCGUAGGCGGUCAGCACAAGUCAGUUGUGAAAUCUCCGAGCUUAACUCGGAAAGGUCAACUGAUACUGUGCGACUAGAGUGCAGAAGGGGCAACUGGAAUUCUUGGUGUAGCGGUGAAAUGCGUAGAUAUCAAGAGGAACACCUGCGGCGAAGGCGGGUUGCUGGGCUGACACUGACGCUGAAGCGCGAAAGCCAGGGGAGCGAACGGG
rnacentral:rRNA from 1 species